rnacentral:misc_RNA from 1 species
UACGUAGGUGUCAAGCGUUAUCCGGAAUUACUGGGCGUAAAGGGCACGCAGGCGGCCAUAUGGGUCUGACGUGAAAGCUCCCGGCUUAACCGGGAGAGGUCGUUGGAAACUGUAUGGCUAGAGUUAGGGAGAGGGAAGCGGAAUUUCCGGUGUAGUGGUGGAAUGCGUAGAUAUCGGGAAGAACACCAGUGGCGAAAGCGGCUUUCUGGCCCUUAACUGACGCUGAGGUGCGAAAGCGUGGGGAGCGAACGGG